GAUGAACGCUGGCGGCGUGCCUAAUACAUGCAAGUAGAACGCUGAAGCUUGGCGCUUGCACCGAGCGGAUGAGUUGCGAACGGGUGAGUAACGCGUAGGUAACCUGCCUCUUAGCGGGGGAUAACUAUUGGAAACGAUAGCUAAUACCGCAUAAAAGUCGAUAUCGCAUGAUAUUGAUUUGAAAGGUGCAAAUGCAUCACUAAGAGGUGGACCUGCGUUGUAUUAGCUAGUUGGUGAGGUAACGGCUCACCAAGGCGACGAUACAUAGCCGACCUGAGAGGGUGAUCGGCCACACUGGGACUGAGACACGGCCCAGACUCCUACGGGAGGCAGCAGUAGGGAAUCUUCGGCAAUGGGGGCAACCCUGACCGAGCAACGCCGCGUGAGUGAAGAAGGUUUUCGGAUCGUAAAGCUCUGUUGUAAGAGAAGAACGAGUGUGAGAGUGGAAAGUUCACACUGUGACGGUAACUUACCAGAAAGGGACGGCUAACUACGUG
rnacentral:rRNA from 1 species